rnacentral:rRNA from 1 species
AGCGAACGCUGGCGGCAGGCCUAACACAUGCAAGUCGAACGGACCCUUCGGGGUUAGUGGCGGACGGGUGAGUAACACGUGGGAACGUGCCUUUAGGUUCGGAAUAGCUCCUGGAAACGGGUGGUAAUGCCGAAUGUGCCCUUCGGGGAAAGAUUUAUCGCCUUUAGAGCGGCCCGCGUCUGAUUAGCUAGUUGGUGAGGUAAUGGCUCACCAAGGCGACGAUCAGUAGCUGGUCUGAGAGGAUGACCAGCCACACUGGGGCUGAGACACGGCCCAGACUCCUACGGGAGGCAGCAGUGGGGAAUCUUGCGCAAUGGGCGAAAGCCUGACGCAGCCAUGCCGCGUGAAUGAUGAAGGUCUUAGGAUUGUAAAAUUCUUUCACCGGGGACGAUAAUGACGGUACCCGGAGAAGAAGCCCCGGCUAACUUCGUGCCAGCCGCCGCAGUAA